rnacentral:lncRNA from 1 species
UCCGCCUGUGCGCGGCCUCCUCGGCGCAGCCAUCCUCGCGGCUGCCGAGGGCGGCAAAGCCCACGGCAUCUGCCAUUUGUCAUUCAGCCCGUCGGUACCGCCCCGAGCCUUGAUUUAGACACGUCUGGGGCGGAUUCUGGCCUCACUCUCCUGGCGGACGGACCGACGGACGGACGGGGCGGCUCUCCUCCCAGCCCAGCGGACCGCGGGCCUUGGCGCGCGGGGCGCUUUCCCGGGUCGCCGUCAUGGCCGCGGAGGCGGCGCGCCCGAACUGCCGCGCCUGAGUUCCGGGGGGCUCCGGACCCCGCAGGGUUUUUCCUGCCUGAUUGACACCAUAGUCAUCAUUGGGUUUUGAUUGCUCUCACGUCUGAUGUGGCCUCAGUUUCAUGUCACAUCUACCCCUCUGCACUUCAGACUUAGAAAGGUAUUUGCAUAGGCAUCAGCGGAGUUAAUCUUGUUUGAAGCCUCAAGCUUCCGAGAGGACUCCCUGCCUGCCUCGGAGCUGUCUCCUGUCGCCGAAUAGCCUGGAAGCUGCGCCUCGGGCCCCCCUUAUGACCCCGUGUUCCUGGCAAAGGCUGCAGACCGAGCUGCAGCCAUGCGAGAAGGCAGGCAUCAAGCGCCACAUCCCUCCGCUGCCAUCUAGUCUUUAGUCCAGCGCUGUGAGCACCUCCAUCUAGUCUUUAGUCCAGCGCUGUGAGCACCUCCUUUGCGAGGAGACAUACAGUGAGGCCCGAUUUCUCAAACAUCCUCCUUGCUCAGAUAGAACACCUCACACGUUUCAUGGUGCGUGUGGACGAUCACAGAUAAGCAAUAGCAACCCCUUGAAGCUUCUGAGGAGCUCUUUCCGCUGCUGAUGUUUCCGGAUGUUUUUUCGUGGAUGAUAGAGACGUACUACCAGAGUCCUUCUGAAUAUGGAGGGGAGCCCUCUCUCUAGAAAGCUCCUGGAGUCAAACAGUGAAUUUCCACCUCCCCCACUCUGAUUGGCUGUUUCAUAUUUUGUGAGUAUGAGGAGAAACAGAACCUUACGAGAGGCCUUUUUUCACUUGGCCUCAAGACAUACAUAGAAAAGCAAUCCCAGGCUUUGGGAGGAUGAGAGGAAAACAAACAUUGGGAGUAGAACCUUCUCAUCCACAAGGAGUGGGGAUGAAUGGAGUCAAAAAAAGAACGGCGAGGAGCCAUAUUGGAAGACUAAAAAUGGAAAUGCAAUUUCCUCUCAGAAGUGGGCCUUGCAUUGUGUCACUGGGGACAAUGGAAAUAGAAGCCAGAAGUCAUAGUUGGAGAAUGCUGUAAAACAUUUGUCCCUCGUUAGCUGAUUGUGUUACGAGGCCCUGGGGACGUCCUGGGACUACACUUGUGCUCUGCCCUCUCCCUCCACCGUCGUAUACCACCAGCCCUCAGGGGACACAGUCCUUCCUGGCUGUUGCCAUAUAUAUAUGUUCUUAUUCCAAUCUGAUCCUCUCUCAUCCCCAAAAUAAUCAGCAUGAACAGAAUGAAGCAGAUGGCACAAGCCUUCUCUGGCAUACUGGCAGAUCUGUAUCACUCACUCAGUAUUUUUAGAAUCAAGGGGAUUGAAAAUUAUGUCCUGAGAUGUUUUGGGGGGAAGACUUACUCUCUUUCCAGGGUGACAGGUGUUGAAAUAUGGAGUAUUUAGGACUCAGAUGCGAUCUGAAUGUCAAGUCACAGAACAGACUGAUUCUCCUCGGGACCGUCUCCUUUGUUAGGCCUCGGUGAGGGUUGUUGGCAGUGUGCCAAAUAAUAGAAAGUGAAUCACAAGUCUGUUUUAAGGAUGUGGCCAGAAAGCUCAUCGGGUUUCAACCAAAGAUUGGAAUCAGCAGCAGCCGGCCAGUACUGGUCAAGUACGUGGUGAUGGGAGAUGCUGUAUUAUCCACAUGGUUUAUUUUUUAAAAAUAGCCGGGCUUUGAUCUUUAGCCACAAUGAAUUUAUAAUCUGUUGGGAAAGACUGUGUUUAUAGAAGUUUGUGAUUAUAUCAUGAAAACAGUGUAAAUAUUUAUAUUUGAAGAUCCAUAUUAAUAAAAUAACACAGUUAUUGUGAGUGAAAUGUUAUAACAAUUUGUGAAUUCGAAUACACCCUUGGAAAAAAAAGACUUCCUGAAGAAGUUAAAGAACGUGGACGAUUGUAAAUUAAUUUGGUUCAACAUCGCUGGACCAACUUUGCACUUAGUGCUGGACCAGGUGGACUUAGCCCAGAGACCUAGAACUCAAAAAGAGAAGUCUUGGGCAAAGACAUUAAUGCAAUAAUGCAUUAAAUAAGUAUCACAGAGUUUUAGUCACUUAAUGUUUUGUUGUUGUUCUUUGCAAGUUUAGUUGGAGGAAGUGUCUCCCAUUUAAAUCCAGUCUGGCCACAUCUAAAACUCCUUGAUUAUACACCCACCAUCUUUGAAGGCCUGAGGGAAACGUAACGACGGCCACGUCUGUUGGACUUCUGAGUCUAGGAAAGUGUCUGGAAAGCGAAUCUGGGAAAACUUUAUUCAAUGCUAAAGGGCAGGUACUUUUAUCUUUAAUUGAAUGAAGCUUAUUUUUCCUUUGUAUUUUUGGUGUGUUGGUAAGCUCUCAAAGUUGGUAUCUGUUGAGAAGCAACUCAGGCUCAGUUGUACUCGCAGCCUCGUUAUGUCCUGUGUGUAGAGCGAGCGCAUCCCUGUGCCAGUUUGCAGCUGAUGGUUUCUACUUUUAAUCCUAGUGCUUAUAAAUACCGCCGUAUAUUCGUAUGGUGUGUGUUUAGAUUACAGAGUGCUUUCAGAUCCAUCUCGUUUCAACGGCUUGUUUACAUGCAUCAGGUAGAUAUCACCGAUGCAGAAACUGACACUCAGGACACAGCUCACAGAUGGGUGAGCUGGAAGUGGAGCUAAGGAAACUUCCUGCUGUAUUCAUAAAACAAGAGACUGCAUCUACACAAAUACCUCCUGUGCUUCAGGAAAACGCCUGAGGGCGAACUGGCAGCAUAGUUGUGUCUGAGGAAAGUAAGGCCUUGCCUUCCUCUCUUUUGAUAGUGAAACGAAGAGUCUGCCUGUGCUUUCCCAGAUGGCAGCCACUAGCCUCAUGCGGCUAUUUAAAUAAGUUAAAUAAAAUGAAAAUUUCAGUUG